AUUGAACGCUGGCGGCAUGCCUUACACAUGCAAGUCGAACGGCAGCACGGGAGCUUGCUCCUGGUGGCGAGUGGCGAACGGGUGAGUAGAGCAUCGGAACGUGCCCUGAAGUGGGGGAUAACGUAGCGAAAGUUACGCUAAUACCGCAUAUUCUGUGAGCAGGAAAGCAGGGGACCGCAAGGCCUUGUGCUUUAGGAGCGGCCGAUGUCGGAUUAGCUAGUUGGUGAGGUAAAGGCUCACCAAGGCGACGAUCCGUAGCGGGUCUGAGAGGAUGAUCCGCCACACUGGGACUGAGACACGGCCCAGACUCCUACGGGAGGCAGCAGUGGGGAAUUUUGGACAAUGGGCGCAAGCCUGAUCCAGCCAUGCCGCGUGAGUGAAGAAGGCCUUCGGGUUGUAAAGCUCUUUCGGCGGGGAAGGAAAUGGCGCGUUUCUAAUACAGAGCGUCGAUGACGGUACCCGUCCAUAAGAAGCACCGGCUAACUACGUACG
rnacentral:rRNA from 1 species